UCCCUGGCAGUUCAAUGGUUAGGACUCAGCACUUUUACUGCUGAAGACCUGGGUUCAAUCCCUGAUCGGGGAA
rnacentral:tRNA from 1 species